GACCCUUUGGCGCAGCGGAUAGCGCGUUGGACUUCUAAUCCAAAGGUCGCGGGUUCGAUCCCCGCAAGGGUUG
rfam:Drosophila busckii chromosome 2L sequence.